rnacentral:tRNA from 1 species
CCGCCCUUAGCUCAGCUGGAUAGAGCGGCGCCCUCCGGAGGGGUUCGAAUCCUCUAGGGCGGGCCA